rnacentral:snRNA from 1 species
GAAUAUGAGGAGGGUGAUCUGCUGGCAACCUCUGUCAUCCUAUUGAUCACCAGUGUUGCAUAGGCCAAUCUGGCUGACAAAGCAGGUGUCCCCUUCUUCCCUUUUGCUUCAUGUGUCUCCCCCUUAAAGCUGUGAUGAAGAGGGUGACCUUCCUCAGUAGAGGAGGACUCUUCUUCAGUCAAGGGUAUUCUAGUAACUGUGGUCUACUACUAGGACCUCGAAACAAACCGAUGACUUUAUCUUUGAUAUGACAGUGACUACCAGAUUUAGAUCUCCAUCCCAGACACCUUUUCU